rnacentral:SRP_RNA from 13 species
GUCCUGAAGGAAGCAGCGGAUCUGGAUCCCCCGCCGGUGCGGGGCG